rnacentral:rRNA from 1 species
AGCGAACGCUGGCGGCAGGCUUAACACAUGCAAGUCGAACGCACGUAGCAAUACGUGAGUGGCAGACGGGUGAGGAACGCGUGGGAACAUGCCCUUCGGUUCGGAAUAACUCAGGGAAACUUGAGCUAAAACCGGAUAUCUCCGAGAGGAGAAAGAUUUAUCGCCGAAGGAUUGGCCCGCGUCUGAUUAGCUUGUUGGUGAGGUAACGGCUCACCAAGGCGACGAUCAGAGCUGGUCUGAGAGGAUGAUCAGCCACACUGGGACUGAGACACGGCCCAGACUCCUACGGGAGGCAGCAGUGGGGAAUAUUGGACAAUGGGCGCAAGCCUGAUCCAGCCAUGCCGCGUGAGUGAUGAAGGCCUUAGGGUUGUAAAGCUCUUUGUCCGGGAAGAUAAUGACUGUACCGAAGAAUAAGCCCCGGCUAACUUCGUGCCAGCAGCCGCCGCCGUAAG